rnacentral:lncRNA from 1 species
UCUAGUUCACCUCUUUGAUGUUGUUCUCAUUUGAUUAAUCUAGUUCUUGUCAGUUCUUCUUGAACUUCUUGUUAGAUCUCGAGUCUAUAUUUCUGUGUCUGUGAUAGUUUGUCGAGACUACACUCACCUCAGAUAUCAGAGCUAGUUUCUUCUUUGUUAGAGUGUGGAUUACUCCUCUGCUUGGAAGUGAACUAGCAUUUUAGAGGUUAUGGAUUACCCUCCUCUAAACUGAUACUUCUUUUGUUACAAUAUUGGAGUCUUAUUCUUCUUAGAGAGAGUGGA